rnacentral:rRNA from 1 species
CAGUAGCCGCGGUAAUACGAAGGGUGCAAGCGUUAAUCGGAAUUACUGGGCGUAAGGCGUGCGCAGGCGGUGAGUUAAGUCUGCUGUGAAAUCCCCGGGCUCAACCUGGGAAUGGCAGUGGAUACUGGCUCGCUAGAGUGUGUCAGAGGAUGGUAGAAUUCCCGGUGUAGCGGUGGAAUGCGUAGAGAUCGGGAGGAACAUCAGUGGCGAAGGCGGCCAUCUGGGACAACACUGACGCUGAGGCACGAAAGCGUGGGGAGCAAACAGGAUUAGAUACCCCCGUAGUCCCUGUCUCUUAUAC